GAGUUGGUGACAUAUUGGAUAUAGACUGAGAGUAAAGAGUGAAGGUUGAGCAUUUUUAGGAUAUUAUUCAAUUCAAAUUAGUUUCUUCAAACUACAGGAGACGGAAGAGCUUUUUGUAUUUACAGCGAAGUCCCCUACUCUUCCCUGAUUAAAAGGUGAUGACCACUCUACUCCACUACCAUUGUCAACUCUCUCCUGACAUGAUCUGAAGCCACGUCUCAUGUGCCCUCUCAUCCACUGGCACAUGGAAUGUAUCCUUUCCAACACUUCAAAUCCUGUCCUGCCCUCAGUGGAAGAGUUGAGCUCUUCACCAACAUCAUCCAUCCAUGAUGAGCCUGUCCUACACUGAAGCCUCAGAACACCUCAAUCCCUGUCCUGCACUGAAGUCAAGCCUCUGAACACCUCAACUCAUGCCUCAUGCCCUCAUUCAAUCACUGCUGUGAUC